GUCUCCACCGGCUGUUACAUGUCACUCAAGAGGAUCUAGGUCAAGGGGCGUGGCCACUCUCACCUGCUCUGCUCCAGCCAGCUGCAGAUCAUUCCAGUACUCAACCAACAGUUAUCAACCCGGGCUCUUCACCUCUUCAGCGCCAGUUCGUUGCAACCAUUCUCGUGAUUCUGCGUCUGGACCCGCUGCUCAUCAGCUUUCAUCUGCCUCCUCGCUGCCUACUCACCUCGCCGCUCCGCUCUCAACCAGCCAUUCCACCCAGUCGUCAUCUUCACUGCCUGGCCACACACCCGCCUUCUGAUCUCCAACUUCGACCCUACCUGGAGCAGCUAUCUUGGCCACCUCCCUCCUCCACUAUCAAACAUCGUUUCUAAUAAACUGUAAACUGCUCAUCUGUGUUCGUGUGCCUGUGUCUCAGUUCCGGGUCUGAAUGGAGCCUAACAGUAAGAAGGAGUGGAAAUAAAGACAAGGAAAUGUCACUGCAGCCUUGAGACUGUGACAUCGACCUCUGACCUCAACUGACCCCCUUCCCUAGUGAAAACACACAUAAAAACUCCAAAACCAAAGAAAGAGGGACCAUGUUGUCUUUUGAGGCCUGUAAGGAGUCGAGGAGACAGUGUAAACAGCACUGUGGGGAGUCUGCAGUGUGGAUGCUGCCUCCUGUGGUGUGGAUGACCUUUCCAACGCCACGUAGCUCUGCAAGACUCUGAUAAGACCAGC